rnacentral:rRNA from 1 species
CAGUCGCCACGGUAAUCCGUAGGUGGCAAGCGUUGUCCGGAAUUAUUGGGCGUAAAGCGCGCGCAGGUGGUUUAAUAAGUCUGAUGUGAAAGCCCACGGCUCAACCGUGGAGGGUCAUUGGAAACUGUUAAACUUGAGUGCAGGAGAGAAAAGUGGAAUUCCCAGUGUAGCGGUGAAAUGCGUAGAGAUUAGGAGGAACACCAGUGGCGAAGGCGGCUUUUUGGCCUGUAACUGACACUGAGGCGCGAAAGCGUGGGGAGCAAACAGGAUUAGAUACCCCUGUAGUCCCUGUCUCUUAUAC